GUGCUCACUUCGGCAGCACAAAUACUAAAUUGGAAUGAUCCAGAGAAGAUUAGCAUGACCCCUGCAAAAGGAUGAUAUGAAAAUUUGUAAAGCGUUCCAUAUUAAA